GCUGGAGCAGCCUGUCCUUGGAGGACUGCACCCCGUGGAAAGAGACCCACGCCACAGCAGUUUUGGGAGCACUGUGUGCCUGUGGGAGGGACUCAGGGUGCAGCAGGGGCCUUGAGUGGUGCACGGGAAAUGAAGGUUGUGCCAAGCUGAGAUCAGCAGUGAUGCCUUGAGCCAAUUAAGGAGCAAUGUUAAUGGGCUCUCUGUGAAUCCUCCUAAGCCUUCCACACCAGAAAGGAUGAUGCCCACAACACAGAGCUGAGCUGAGCAUUUAAAGCCUACAGAAAUAAGAGCAGAUUUUCAAGUCUUCAUUAUUAAGCAGCUUCCCUACUGCUUGUGUUGAGAGGGAAGUGUGCUCUGUAAUAGGAAGACACAGAAGCGGUUUCAUCUCUUAUGAAGAUUCAUAUGGGUGCACGAGUGUGUGUGUGCAGGAACCACUGGUGGGACCUCUAGGACUUCCCAUGCCUUGUCCCAACUGUGUGCCUCUGCUGCCUCUGCUCUUGAAGCGGCACCUGCUGUGGAAAGGGCUAAAGACUUCAGUGCAUUUUCAGCUCAUCAUAAUGGUUUGAAGAUUCCUCUCACCAGUACAGUGAAGAUUUUGAUGAAGGAACCACAUUUUUAUAUGUAGCAAUAACAGAUUUUUUCUUCUACUUUACAACACAUGCUAACAGCUGUUUACAAAGUAGUGAUGGUGGAAUGCAGUCCAGUGGGUAUACUGAGUAUUCAUUUAUCCAGAGGGAUUACACUGUGGUGAACAGCAUUUGGACUUCAAUUUAGUAUGCAUCCAGCCGAAUUAUGCGAUUAGCUGAUAUGCAAUAAACCAGAACAGAAACACAUGCAGUCAAAUGGUGCCAGAUAAAAAGCAUACAAUUCUUAUACAGGGUCUUGUAAUAUUGUACAGGUAAAUGAUAAAUACAUAGUUAUAAAGAAUUUGGCUAUUUUGCCAUAUAGCUAUACUUCUUGGUGUGCUGUGUACAUAUAUCUGUAUAUGUGCAGAGCUGCACUGAUUUCAGAUCCUUUAUGUUACUCAUUAAAUAAUUUUAGUUUGUUGUUUUACUUGAAAUGUACCACACUUCAAAUGCUAGCACAAAGCAAUGUUUUUAUGUCACUUAAAAGAGGACAUAAGGCUUAAAGGCAGUCUUGUAUUAAAAAAAAGUUUCAGACAAAACUCCUCUCCCAGCAGAAACCUUGGCAUGAUUUUUAAGAACAGAAAGAAAGAUGUUUUUUGUUUCUGUUAGGAAUUUUUAUAGUUAUGGGGUCACCCCUCUCCAGACCCUCUUGCAGUGCUGUCUCCCCCCUGGACAGAGGGCAUGGGAACUGGAGGAGAGCCCACCUCCUUCCCCUGUCCUGCCACAAGGCAGCAGGGUGGAAAGAGCCCUAAGCAGAACUUUUGUCUCCAAUCACCCCUAGCAGGCUGCUGAGCACAGGAAGAGAGGAAAGAGGGGAGGCAACCAAGCUGAUAGGUUUGUCAUCCCACUGGGAGAUCCUGACUGUGGAUUUUAUCCUUUGUACUAUUGUGGGACUGACCACAGUCCUUAUCCUCAGCCUGCUCCUCAUGAGAAAACAAAGGAUUGGCAGCUCUGUCUUAUGGAUCAGCUGUGGGCAGGACGUGGGUAUACAUCAUGUGUAUAAACAUGGAUAAAAUGAAGUUACAACUGAACAAACUGUGCACCCUAAAUUGAGGGAUGCUGCUUAAUCCACCUGUGCUUGACCAUCCUGCCUGCACACAGGAGUAAGAUAGCUUUCAUCCCUCUCCAUCCAAGAGGGAUCAUGUUGUUACCUUUUCAGCUUUAUCUCUUUGCUUGAUGUUAAAGUGAUCAGUACCCUGGCAAAGCUCAGAAGGAAGGAAGCCUUUCCUUGUUUUCUCAUUUCACAGGACACAAAGCAUUGAGCAGAUUAAAGAAACAGUGAACAGACACUGGCAUGGUGACUGCUAUUCAUCCUCUGUGCCACGUGAGGCCAGAGCCUUACGGGAAAUAGCAUGUACAGAGGUAAUUAAAACUAUAUGGAUGUAUAUGCCUAAGUAGGCCACAUCAUGGCUGUAGGCAAUUUUUCCAAAAUGAUGCAAUAGGAAAGUUCUUAGCCUCAACAUGAGGCUCAGAUUAUGGAGGAACAUAAUCGUGUGAUCCCAGGUGUGUGAACAAACAGUUAAAAAAUGUGUAAUUUGUAUUAACUAUGCAACCAAAAAGAUGUAAAAAUAGGACUUCAAAAUAUUAUAAUACAACUAAUAUAUUUACAAAUAUUGUAAUCAUAAAAGAUUGCUGAAUAGCUUUCACUUUUUGAAGUGCUCUCCUUUCUCACAGAUGAAAAUAAAUUAGCAGCUCUUCAUCUUUGCCUUUCGACAGUUUAAAAAGUUGUAGGCUUUAUAUUUAAAAAAAAUUGCAAAUAUAUCUCUAGUUUGUUUUUCAAUUUGGAUUGUGAAUUUGCACCAAUUCUUCAGAACAGCUGGAGGUCUGUAGUCCAUUCUGUACAUACCUGCAUGUAUUUAUUUUUCCAUAAUUGCAUUUUCUGAAAAAUUUGGUAGAUUUAAAAAAUAUUUUAGUGCAUUUCAAUACAGAAAUGUGAAGAAAAGGAGAGAAAAAAUGUCUAUGAAUUACAUGAUAUUCUAAAACCAUGUUUCCAAAUGCAUUUAUCUGAAUUCAAGCUGUGACUUAAUAGCUGUAGCUGUAUCAACACUGUAUCAGUUUACCAUAGGAGGAAAAUAUAUGAAAUGAGACAUAACCUACUAAGGUCACUUCAGGGGCUAUCACCGAGCGGAAAAUGAAUGCUAAUAUUUUCAGAUUUAACAUGGGUAAGCUCGUCAGAACCAAUAGUUUGGGGCUGAAUUCUGAAAUGCCCUCAGUGAAAGCAAUGCAAGGGGGAUGGUCAGUGAGAUGGAAUUAUUAAAAGAUAGGGUGGAGCCAAGCCCAGCCAUAUGGUGAAUGCCAUAACCGGGGCAGACCUGUCACGGCCAAGCAAGCUGGGAAAGCAGGCGAAAAGAAAUUGUCCUGAAAGAACAACAUGCAUCCCGCCACGAAGAAAUGAGGGCAGAGGGCUGUGGGCAACGCGUUGGCCAGUGACUGACACUUGCACUGAUGAAAGACAACACUGGAAGUUGAGCCCCAGCUAUGCAAAGUUGAUUAGGGUAGAUGGGACCCUUCAUCAUGCCUUAAAAAAAUCAUCGCAGCUCAAAACACUCACUUCCAAUAUGCCUAAUAAAACCCUCGGUCGUUCGUGCAAGUUGGGUGAGUAACAUGUCUAUCAGCAAAAUAGCUGCAUAACUGGGUGCAUCAGACAUAGCCCUUCAUGCCCUCCAAACCCCAGGGUCCUUUCUACCAACAAAAGAUGUGAGGGUCCUGCUGCAACUGUGAGAGAAGCCUGAGACUUACUGUAGCCAUUCUUCAUUCUUCCUCAGUUGUGUAUUUUUGUGAAAAGGCUAUAUGUUAAAAAACAGAAACAUUUGCAUUUUGAUAAGUGGUAUAUAAUCAACAGAGCCAUUAACUAGAUAUUUAAAUAACUAUCAAAAUUUCAUCUCAGUCCUCAAAUACUUUGUUAGUUGGAUGGCUCUCGUGGGAUAAAUAACCUUAGUACCAUUUACUUCAGGUGCUUUCUGAACAGAACUCUCAUGCAGCAAAUUGCAAAUAUUACCUGCCCCAGUGCUCCCCCAGUUUGCACUGGCACACUCCAGCAUUCUCUGGGGUGACCUGCUGGUCCCUAAGGUGGGCCAAGAUUUCUGGAUAUGCCUGACUGGUGUUGACUCCGGUUUCUUGUGUCUGUGUGGUAUGGGAUACACCAAUGUGGUCUAGUGCAGAGCUAACUUGUCUAGUGCUGAUUCUGUGAUCUUUGCAGCAGUCCAUGGUAUGAUACAGCUGAUGCAUUUUUAUUAUCUGCAUCUUUUUGCCAAUAAUCAGAUUUGCAUGAGGUUUUAAAAAUUCAGAAGUAACUCAUGUCAAAUUUUGGUACUUCCCUGAGCCCUCCGAAAAGACAAACCUACUCUAUGUCAGGAAGACAUUGAGUAAAAUAUUUUUGUGGUACUGAUCAGAUGAGUGUAUCUCCACACUUAUAGUAUAGAAAUGAGAAGAAAAAUCAGUCCAUUAAGCCCAGGAAGACAGGUCCUUGUUGUUAUGUAACCUUCAUAUUUUCACUGUGCUCUUGGGCUAUCUUCCACCUAGUUCACACUGCAGCUACUGAGCCCAUUAAUGAGCAUGCACCUCUCUUAUAUGCACGGUAUAAAUCCAGUACACAUUCUCACACGUAUAGUCACUGAGGUUUGUUUAUCAGGUUUCUGCUUUGACAUGAUACAGAUCAAGUUGCCAUGUUCAUACAAGAAAAUUAUGUGUAGCUAGCACUCUUCUUUGGUAUUUGAGCAAACCAGCACAAAAUAGGUUGCACUUGUAUUAAUAGUUUCUCUUCUGUACAGGGUGAUUAUGUCCAAAAAUAUAUCCACAAAUGGUUCCUGGCCACAAUAGCUCCUAAACCAUGCCCAGAACCUGUUUGAAAGAGUUCUUAUUGGCCUGGGCCAAAGUUCUGCUGGGGACAAUUUAAUUGUACAGCUGAUGGAACACCACAGCUGGAAAAAGUCCCAGGCAUUACUUAGUUUCCUGGUAUGGGUAUAGUUAGCCUGACCAGGCACUGACCUAUGAAAAAAAUACAGUUUUAAAAAUAAAACCUCAGGAAAAAAGCAUUCUGCUUAAUUGUGAUUUUUUCUUUGCACCCUUAUCUCUUGGUGCAUUGUUUGUCAUUUUGUAAACAUUCACCUAGAUAGUUUUUUGCAAAUGCUAGAAUGGGUAAAUGCUCUUUUUCUCAAAUAGGAAUACUAUUCACCCAUUCCUUUUUGUCUGAUUUUUUAUAAAGUAGAAACCUUUACAAGGUUUUGCUUUAAAAAUUAAUUUCUCUCUUCAUUUUCAUUUUCAGGUGGGAAACUUAAAGAAAAAUUACAUCUUUGUUAGGUUUUAAUUUUUCUAGGAAUAAUCCAUCCAGUACAGCUCAACAUCUGUAAACCUCAAGAGCAAGUUGUCAUACUUCAGACAAGCACAGAGAAGUGAAGGAAUUUUCUAAGAAGCCAGAUAUAAUUUUAUGGCAGUGAAUUGCUACCCUAUGAACACUGAGGAAUUGUGGCAUUCCACUUCUCAUUAUGUAUGCCCACAAGAGAAAUAUUAAACUAGACUUUUCUUUGACUGUUGCCUUCGUUCUCUCUUUCUCUCGUACAUACUUAUAAAAUAAAGAUCAAACUUCCUUGAAUUCUUUUUAUCUGCUUUGAAGUCUAAGGAAAACUUUUUUGGAAAUUCUAUUUUCAUCUCUGUGAAUUUAUUCUCUAAUGCUUCUAACUUGUCAAAUAUGGACUGUGCUGUUCAAGGAGCAGUUAAGAAAAAAAAGCCCAUCUUUGAAUCUACAUGCACGGACAAUCAUUCUCACAAUUCAUGAAAGCCCUCAAAAACGUGGAGCCACAAUAUACUCUUCUAUUACCAUUUCUUUGGAAUGUUCUGAGGCAUGUCUGCUAAAUUCUGUGGAGGGGAAAAAACAAGGUCUUUUUUUCUUCUUUUUGUCCAGUAAAUUACUUUGAGUAUGUAGAAGAAGCACAUCCUA